UACGUAGGUGGCAAGCGUUGUCCGGAAUCAUUGGGCGUAAAGCGCGCGCAGGCGGUCCUUUAAGUCUGAUGUGAAAGCCCACGGCUCAACCGUGGAGGGUCAUUGGAAACUGGGGGACUUGAGUGCAGAAGAGGAAAGCGGAAUUCCACGUGUAGCGGUGAAAUGCGUAGAGAUGUGGAGGAACACCAGUGGCGAAGGCGGCGUCUGGGAAGAUACUGACGCUGAGGUGCGAAAGCGUGGGGAGCAAACAGG
rnacentral:rRNA from 1 species